rnacentral:lncRNA from 1 species
CCCCUGAAGAAUUCCAAGCUCAAAAUCCUUUACCCCUGAAGAAUUCCAAGCUCAAAACACUCUACCCCUGAAGAAUUCCAAACUCAAAACACUUUACCCCUGAAGAAUUCCAACCUCUGAAAAAUUUCGAUCUCAAACCUCUUUACCCCUGAAGAAUUCCAAGCUCAAAACACUCUACCCCUGAAGAAUUCCAAACUCAAAACACCCUACCCCUGAAGAAUUCCAAGCUCAAAACACUGUACCCCUGAAGAAUUCCAAGCUCAAAACACUUUACCCCUGAAGAAUUCCAAACUCUGAAAAAUUUCGAUCUCAAACCUCUUUACCCCUGAAGAAUUCCAAGCUCAAAACACUCUACCCCUGAAGAAUUCCAAGCUCAAAACACCCUACCCCUGAAGAAUUCCAAACUCAAAAUCAUUUACCCCUGAAGAAUUCCAAACUCAAAACACUGUACCCCUGAAGAAUUCCAAGCUAAAAACACUGUACCCCUGAAGAAUUCCAAACUCAAAAUCCUUUACCCCUGAAGAAUUCCAAGCUCAAAACAAUCUACCCCUGAAGAAUUCCAAGCUUAAAACACCCUACCCCUGAAGAAUUCCAAGCUCAAAACACUGUACCCCUGAAGAAUUCCAAGCUCAAAACACUUUACCCCUGAAGAAUUCCAUGCUCAAAACACCCUACCCCUGAAGAAUUCCAAACUCAAAACACUUUACCCCUGAAGAAUUCCAAGCUCAAAAUCCUUUACCCCUGAAGAAUUCCAAGCUCAAAACACCCUACCCCUGAAGAAUUCCAAGCUCAAAACACUUUACCCCUGAAGAAUUCCAAGCUCAAAACACUGUACCCCUGAAGAAUUCCAAGCUCAAAACACUGUACCCCUGAAGAAUUCCAAGCUCGAAACACCCUACCCCUGAAGAAUUCCAAACUCAAAAUCAUUUACCCCUUAAUAAUUCCAAACUCAAAACACUGUACCCCUGAAGAAUUCCAAACUCAAAACACUGUACCCCUGAAGAAUUCCAAGCUCAAAACACUGUACCCCUGAAGAAUUCCAAGCUCAAAACACCCUACCCCUGAAGAAUUCCAAACUCAAAAUCCUUUACCCCUGAAGAAUUCCAAGCUCAAAACACCCUACCCCUGAAGAAUUCCAGGUAUCCUCGACAGGGGGGGUACGGAUAUUAA